GACGAGCCACACGAACGUUAUUCGGAAUUACUGGGACGUUAAAGGGUGCGUAGGCGGCGCGGAAAGUUGGGUGUGAAAUCCCGUCGGCUCCAACCGAGGAACUGCGCCCAAAACUACCGUGCUCGAGGAAGAUAGAGGUGAGCGGAACUUACGGUGGAGCGGUGAAAUGCGUUGAUAUCGUAAGGAACACCCGUGGCGAAAGCGGCUCACUGGGUCUUCUCUGACCGCUGAUGCACGAAAGCUAGGGGAGCAAACGGG
rnacentral:rRNA from 1 species